AUGUCUACGGCGGCUGCAUCCCGGCCCAGCGGCCCCAUCCUUUUGAGUCCCUUUCCCAACUACCAAUCCGCCUCGCUCUCCCGCGUCAAGCUCUCCGUCGCCGGCUCGCCGGUCAAGUCCUUCAGCGUCUCGUCUCCCCCCUCCUCCCCCACCACCGCCCCCAAGAUCCGUCGGUCCUGCAUGUGCUCCCCGACGAACCAUCCCGGCUCGUUCCGCUGCAGCCUCCACAAGGAGCGCAAGCAGGAGGUCCCGGCCGCCGGCAGCUGUAGCAAGCCCGCCUCACCGCCUUCGCCGCCUUCGAAUUCGAAGCUCACGGCGAGCCCGUUCGCGCAGCUCGUCCCCAGAGGCAGCGGCAGCUCUAAACGCUCAUAG
rnacentral:rRNA from 1 species